GUCCAGACUCCUACGGGAGGCAGCAGUGGGGGAUAUUGCACAAUGGGGGAAACCCUGAUGCAGCGACGCCGCGUGAGGGAAGACGGUUUUCGGAUUGUAAACCUCUGUCUUUGGGGACGAAUUGAGACGGUACCCAAGGAGGAAGCUCCGGCUAACUACGUGCCAGCAGCCGCGGUAAUACGUAGGGAGCAAGCGUUAUCCGGAUUUACUGGGUGUAAAGGGCGUGUAGGCGGGCCUGUAAGUCAGAAGUGAAAUCUGGGGGCUUAACCCCCAAACUGCUUUUGAAACUGCGGGUCUUGAGUGAUGGAGAGGCAGGCGGAAUUCCCAGUGUAGCGGUGAAAUGCGUAGAUAUUGGGAGGAACACCAGUGGCGAAGGCGGCCUGCUGGACAUUAACUGACGCUGAGGCGCGAAAGCGUGGGGAGCAAACAGGAUUAGAUACCCGAGUAUC
rnacentral:rRNA from 1 species